UAUGAGUAAUCCUCAAAGAAAGAUAGAAUAAUACAGUUCAAUAUUUGAAAGAUGGGAAAUUAUGAAAAUUAUUUACAUUUGAUGGAUAUUUGUCUUCAUCUUAUUUGUUGUUAACACAACGUUUCGGCUGAUAUACACUCCAGCCUUCUUCAGGUGUCCUGGGGAAACUUUGAA